rfam:Triticum aestivum genome assembly, contig: Triticum_aestivum_CS42_TGACv1_scaffold_000563_1AL
AAAGUACUCCCUCCGUCCCAAAAUUCUUGUCUUAGAUUUGUCUAGAUACGGAUGUAUCAAGUCACAUUUUAGUAUUAGAUACAUCCGUAUCUAGACAAAUCUAAGACAAGAAAUUUGGGACAGAGGGAGUAGCUG